rnacentral:rRNA from 1 species
AGAUUAAGUUAUUAAGGGCGCACGGUGGAUGCCUUGGCACUAGAAGCCGAUGAAGGACGUUACUAACGACGAUAUGCUUUGGGGAGCUGUAAGUAAGCUUUGAUCCAGAGAUUUCCGAAUGGGGAAACCCAGCAUGAGUUAUGUCAUGUUAUCGAUAUGUGAAUACAUAGCAUAUCAGAAGGCACACCCGGAGAACUGAAACAUCUUAGUACCCGGAGGAAGAGAAAGAAAAUUCGAUUCCCUUAGUAGCGGCGAGCGAAACGGGAAGAGCCCAAACCAAAAAGCUUGCUUGUUGGGGUUGUAGGACACUCUAUACGGAGUUACAAAGGACGACAUUAGACGAAUCAUCUGGAAAGAUGAAUCAAAGAAGGUAAUAAUCCUGUAGUCGAAAAUGUUGUCUCUCUUGAGUGGAUCCUGAGUACGACGGAGCACGUGAAAUUCCGUCGGAAUCUGGGAGGACCAUCUCCUAAGGCUAAAUACUCUCUAGUGACCGAUAGUGAACCAGUACCGUGAGGGAAAGGUGAAAAGCACCCCGGAAGGGGAGUGAAAUAGAACCUGAAA